rnacentral:rRNA from 1 species
UACGAAGGGGGCUAGCGUUGCUCGGAAUCACUGGGCGUAAAGGGUGCGUAGGCGGGUCUUUAAGUCAGGGGUGAAAUCCUGGAGCUCAACUCCAGAACUGCCUUUGAUACUGAAGAUCUUUGAGUCCGGGAGAGGUGAGUGGAACUGCGAGUGUAGAGGUGAAAUUCGUAGAUAUUCGCAAGAACACCAGUGGCGAAGGCGGCUCACUGGCCCGGUACUGACGCUGAGGCACGAAAGCGUGG